CCCGAAUUUUUCAAACUUACCCAAGUCCAGAAACCUGGACGGUCCAGUAUUUUGACUAUUGUUUUAUACAUCAUACUGGGCCAACACCUGCGGGCUGCACUGCCACCAACCACCAAAGACAGCAAGCUGAUUGGUCCAAGUUACAGAGAGCCCUGGCUCCCAUGAGCCAAAAAUCCGCGUCCGUGUUCGUGUGUCUUCUAGUCAUCUAGAAUCCUCCGUUCUGCAGGCGAUUGGGGUCGGUGUGGUUCUCCUGUGUGGCCGGCUACUGGUUGCCGGUUGGUUGUCGCGCCGCUUCCGGUCGUUUGCUCUCGGCGGUGGUAGGGUUGCGUGGAGCUGGAGGCAGACGGGUUCGUCCUCCGCUUUCCAGCGGCCUCGGCAGCUUCGCCUCUUUUUCUUGUUCCGGUCGCUGGCUGCACGGCUCGAUCUGCUCUUCCUGUUUUGUGCCUGCGUCAGUGCGUCGCCUCCGCCGCGUAGGUUCCGGACGAUUGCUCGUCGCUGGUUGCUUGCAGCCUUGCGCCGCCGGAUUUGGGGAUUUGUUUCGCCCUCGCAAGUUUUGAUUCGCCGGCGCUCUCCUGGAGGAGUGACGCAGGCACGCAAGCAUGUUGCUGCCGAUGAGGUCGCUCUACAAGAGCUCGAUCGCUUGCGGCGUCCAAGUUUGUCAGGCCGUGGACAGCGAGCCGGACGUGCAGAGGGAGGCCCAUGCCUGUUUGGUUGCUACAACUAGCUUCUCUGUGACCCCCCAAGACAAGCUCUUCUUCUACCUUCACUCGCCAUCAGUAGAACGCAGCCACGCCUGCUCCUCAGUAAAGGGUUCCUUGAUGGCUGCAACGACCAAAUUUGGCUACAGCCCUGUAUAUCAGAAGGCAACAGCUGGUUGGAGGGAGAUUAGUGGCCAGGCUGCUGCACAGGCACGUCCAGGUGACCGAUUCUCAGCGCCUGAGCCAGGCUAAGCAAGGUGCCGGACUGACGGAGGUCUCCAGGCCAGGCUGCUUGUUCUUCUCCAGGUUGGCAACCAAACACUGCUGAGGCAAUUCUUAGGAAGGCUUCCGGCCAGGCGCGAUGUAGCCAGGAUGCAAACCAAACAGAUGCUACAUCCCCAAUGGAAGGCCUAGGAGAAUACGGAGUACAUAAACUCUUGUGGGUGCGGUUGCAACCGUGUGGAGACGUUUGUAUAUGAGCGUGUACUCGUCUAGAAUAAGGGCAAAAAGCUGAUAACAGGGGAAUGUCAUUCCGUCCAAACAUGGCAUUUUCAGUGGGGUCUGGGCCGUGGUAGAUUACUAGGUCCAGUUGGGCGUGGAAAUUUAUUUCACUGAAACAGUAAAAAGGUGCACCGUGGUGACUUUCUAGGUUAACACGUCACCAAGUUUGGAGUGCUAUGGACCAAACGUUAUCAGGUUUGUUAGGUUAACUAAUGUGAAUGAUUGUUCGUUAGGCAACAAAGCCAUGUUCAA